UACCAAGGCUUGACAUAUACCGAAAAGCAGCAGAGAUGUUGUGUCCGCAAGGGCGGUAUACAGGUGGUGCAUGGUUGUCGUCAGCUCGUGUCGUGAGAUGUUGGGUUAAGUCCCGCAACGAGCGCAACCCUCGUUCUGUGUUGCCAGCAUUUAGUUGGGGACUCACAGGAGACUGCCGUGGUUAACACGGAGGAAGGUGGGGAUGACGUCAAAUCAUCAUGCCCCUUAUGUCUUGGGCUGCACGCAUGCUACAAUGGCAGGUACAAAGGGCUGCAAUACCGUAAGGUGGAGCGAAUCCCAAAAAGUCUGUCUCAGUUCGGAUUGAGGUCUGCAACUCGACCUCAUGAAGUCGGAGUUGCUAGUAAUCGUAGAUCAGCAACGUACGGAAA
rnacentral:rRNA from 1 species